UCAAUAUGUGUGCCUUGAAUGCCAUUUA
rnacentral:piRNA from 1 species